GAGCUUAGUAUUUAUCUACUUACUCAUCCUUGGCCGGAGGGCUGCCUCUAACCACGCUGCGUCUUAGCCGCUCCUUCGCCUGUCCAUCAGCACGGGGCUCAACGCGCGAGAGAGAGCCGCGUGCUCCCGCCCCUGCGCCGGCCCCUGCCGCCUCGCGCUUGGGUCACGGGCUCGAAGAGCGUCACCGCGCCUGCGCGGCGUCUGGCGGCGGUCUCGCGAUCCUCCGACGGCCGCGGGGACCCGGGGCCUGGGCUGGGAGGGGCCGCGCCCACUCUUCCCCGACCCCUCCCACACGCUUGCCGCCGUUGCCUGAGGUGGGGCUUGAGCUCGCGGGGAGGGGGCGGAGCCGCGGCCGGCGGAGGGGUGGGCGGAGCCGCCGGCAGGGACGUCUCCAAAGGGCUCUGUCGUUUCGGGAGCUUCCCGGAGAUGCUUUACAGCUGCAUUUGCCAAGCGCGGCGCCUCCAAGUGCUGGUGGGGGAGUCAGACUAGAGAAUAUCCCCUGGCUGAAACAUUCACCCCCGACGUCCUCCCCCAUCGCCCACUUGCCGUGGAAAGGCCCGUGGGGGUACCUGAAUUUCCUGCGGGGAGUCGGCGUGUGUGCGGGGGCAUGUUUUUCUGCGGAGAGCGUCCAGAAAGGCGAGGAGCCCCGUUCGGGGCCGGCCCCUCGCCGGGAGCGCUGGGUGGCUCCGGGCUCGACGGAGGGAGCCGUGGCCCUGCUUGUUGACAGUGGUCGGUGCAGACUCCAGGGACAGAGGCUGUGCCACGUAGCUCCUCAGUUUUCUCCUCCCUAAAAUGGAAACGAUAAUCACCGUUCUUCCCCUCAACGGGCCCAUUCUAAGCUUAAAGGAGUUAAUACCUGCAAAUGCUUGGAGCCAUGCCUCGCACUUAGCGCCGAUUUUAUUCCAGCUAAUUGUUCGUGACGCGUCGGGCGCACAUCACGGACGAGGACCUCGAAUCAGGAAGCAGCAGCGGAGGGUGCAGGGCGUUGAUCUUGCAGACUAGCAUUCUGCCCCCUCCGGCGCUUAGGGCGCCAUCUGGCCUGCGCCCCAAGGAUCUCACCUGCCCCGUGGAGAUGGUAACAGGACUGUGGUAGGGGUUCUAGGCAGGCUCAGAGCAGUGACUCCGACGCAGUGAAAGUAUUGUUCGUUUUUAAUUUUUUAAGUAGGCUCCAACGUGGGGCUUGAAUUCACAGCCCUGGGAUUAAGGGGCACAUGCUCCACGACGGAGCCAGCCAGGCGCCGCUCUGGUAUGAUUAUUACUACUGCUGCCUAAGUACGCUCCGUCUCCGCAUUCUGAGGCGAGAGGCCCUUUCCAGGCGAUUCCCGCAGCCUUCACAGCUCACCCAGCCCCGCCACGUCCGCCUCCCCGCGGCUCUACGCAGGGAGUAGGGCUAACCUGGGCCCCUCCACCUGCCCCCGCCUCAGGUGUCCCCCAUCUCUCCCCAGUUCCCAUCUAUAGCAGUCCCGCCCCUGAAACCCCUCACGGACCACAGAGCCUUCCAGCUGAGAAUCCCCUUGCGGAGCCAGUCCUGGGAGACGUGUAUGGCCCGCCCGACGCCCGGCCUGCUCCCCGGCCUGCGCCGCUCACCGUGAUUCUUCGCGCAGCGAAGGCCUGGGCCGGAGAGGGGCUGAAUGAGGGAAAUCAGAUACGUGACGAUUCGACCGCCGCGGGAUGUUCGCAUGUUGAAGGGAAGGAAGGAGGAGCCACGGAGAGACUGAUCUGCACCUAGACUAAGGGAUUGACACCCAGGCAGUGGCCAGAGCACGUGGAAAAACAGAACUCCGACCCGCAAACCAACUCGUCAUCAACAAGAAAACACCCAGGCGAUCCAUAGGUCACAUUUGUAAGCAGACUAUGUCUAGUAACAAUUCAGAAAGCGAAACACUAACUUUCUGGAACAAUUGGCUCGAAAUGGCCAGCACUGACAACUUCCCUAAGUUUUGUCCAUACUGCAACUUAGGGCCAACCAGAGAAAGUCAAAUCCGCGCCCCUGGCCAGUCACACAGGACACCCAGCUUCUAGGGACCCGCCUUACAGCUUCCCCACGCCGUCGACAGCCUCCAGAGAAGGCACAUCGGAAUCCUGUCCUUUUUCCUGCUAUAAAGAAAACUUACCCACCCCUCUGCCUGCCCUUGAGUCUCUUUGAAAACAAGUGACCACGGCUGACUGACUCCCUUGCUGUAGCAAGCUUUGAAUAAACAGCCUUUGCUCUUCUCA
rnacentral:lncRNA from 1 species